AACUGGACGAAAGCAAGUUCGAUAUGCACUUGAAGUUAUGGGCGCUUCGAAUUCCACGAGAACAUUGUAAAGCUGCCAUGAAAAUACUCAACGGGCAUUUAUUUGACAGGCCACGCGUAAAGCCUAUCACUGAGGACCCAACAAAUGAAAAAACUCGUUACAUGAUUUUCUCAGAAAAAGUAAAAACCCCAGACUUGUCUGAUAU
rnacentral:misc_RNA from 1 species